GGCGCGGUAGUUUGUACGAACGCAAUGGGCCAGCUCGGUGCUUUCUCGAAUAUAGAUUUCAUUUUUGGAUACUCAAGAGCUGCUUUUCUUGUGCUGUAUUUCUUCAGAUUUACACUUGCACUAAAAAGUCAUUCUUUCGAUACGUAAUUUCCGGAAAUUAUCACCUUUGCCAGAAAAUAGGAUCGAUAUUUAGUUGUUAUGUAAUAUGUUCAUAUACAUAUGUGUGUAUUUAUAACUUCUUCUUUUUGAUUGAGGCGAUAACUUGGCGCAGAAUUUCGUCUUUCCAAAAUAAACAUGGCCAGAAAGCAUAAAUAUCGUGUGAAUAUUAUUGCAUACACAUGUACAUGUGUAUGUAUGUACAUAAAAAUGUCUAAAAAACAGAACCGAAACAAAAAAUUACGUCAGAACUUAGGAACAAAAUAAACACUCUUUACGCA